rnacentral:rRNA from 1 species
GUGGGGAAUAUUGGACAAUGGGCGAAAGCCUGAUCCAGCCAUGCCGCGUGUGUGAAGAAGGUCUUCGGAUUGUAAAGCACUUUAAGUUGGGAGGAAGGGCAGUAAGUUAAUACCUUGCUGUUUUGACGUUACCGACAGAAUAAGCACCGGCUAACUUCGUGCCAGCAGCCGCGGUAAUACGAAGGGUGCAAGCGUUAAUCGGAAUUACUGGGCGUAAAGCACGCGUAGGUGGUUUUGUAAGUUGGAGGUGAAAUCCCCGGGCUCAACCUGGGAACUGCCUCCAAAACUGCAUGACUAGAGUACGGUAGAGGGUAGUGGAAUUUCCUGUGUAGCGGUGAAAUGCGUAGAUAUAGGAAGGAACACCAGUGGCGAAGGCGACUACCUGGACUGAUACUGACACUGAGGUGCGAAAGCGUGGGGAGCAAACAGGAUUAGAAACCCGUGUAGUCC